UGAGUAACACGUGGGCAACCUGCCUGUAAGACUGGGAUAACUCCGGGAAACCGGGGCUAAUACCGGAUAACUCAACGAACCGCAUGGUUCGGUGUUAAAAGAUGGCUUCUGCUAUCACUUACAGAUGGGCCCGCGGCGCAUUAGCUAGUUGGUGAGGUAACGGCUCACCAAGGCAACGAUGCGUAGCCGACCUGAGAGGGUGAUCGGCCACACUGGGACUGAGACACGGCCCAGACUCCUACGGGAGGCAGCAGUAGGGAAUCAUCCGCAAUGGACGAAAGUCUGACGGUGCAACGCCGCGUGAGUGAUGAAGGUCUUCGGAUCGUAAAACUCUGUUGUUAGGGAAGAACACGUGCUGUUCGAAUAGGGCAGUGCCUUGACGGUACCUAACCAGAAAGCCACGGCUAACUACGUGCCAGCAGCCGCGGUAAUACGUAGGUGGCAAGCGUUGUCCGGAAUUAUUGGGCGUAAAGCGCGCGCAGGCGGUUUCUUAAGUCUGAUGUGAAAGCCCACAGCUCAACUGUGGAGGGUCAUUGGAAACUGGGGAACUUGAGUACAGAAGAGGAGAGCGGAAUUCCACGUGUAGCGGUGAAAUGCGUAGAUAUGUGGAGGAACACCAGUGGCGAAGGCGGCUCUCUGGUCUGUGACUGACGCUGAGGCGCGAAAGCAUGGGUAGCGAACAGGAUUAGAUACCCUGGUAGUCCAUGCCGUAAACGAUGAGUGCUAGGUGUUAGGGGGUCCAACCCUUAGUGCUGCAGUUAACGCAAUAAGCACUCCGCCUGGGGAGUACGGCCGCAAGGCUGAAACUCAAAGGAAUUGACGGGGGCCCGCACAAGCGGUGGAGCAUGUGGUUUAAUUCGACGCAACGCGAAGAACCUUACCAGGUCUUGACAUCUUCGGACCGCCCUAGAGAUAGGGUCUUCCCUUCGGGGACCGAAUGACAGGUGGUGCAUGGUUGUCGUCAGCUCGUGUCGUGAGAUGUUGGGUUAAGUCCCGCAACGAGCGCAACCCUUAACCUUAGUUGCCAGCAUUCAGUUGGGCACUCUAAGGUGACUGCCGGUGACAAACCGGAGGAAGGUGGGGAAUGACGUCCAAAUCAUCAUGCCC
rnacentral:rRNA from 1 species